rnacentral:rRNA from 1 species
UACGAACUGUGCGAACGUUAUUCGGAAUCACUGGGCUUACAGGGUGCGUAGGCGGCUUUUCAAGUCAGGUGUGAAAGCCCCCGGCUCAACCGGGGAAUUGCGCUUGAAACUGGAGAGCUCGAGUCAGCUAGAGGUGCACGGAACUUCCAGUGGAGCGGUGAAAUGUGUUGAUAUUGGAAGGAACACCGGAGGCGAAAGCGGUGCACUGGGGCUGGUCUGACGCUGAGGCACGAAAGCCAGGGGAGCGAACGGG